CUCUUUCUCUUUCUCUUUCUCUUUCUCUUUCUCUCUCUCUCUGUCUCUCUCUCUCAUAGGGCAUCAGGGGAUUCACAGGGCUGAAGGGUGAUGUCGGCCUGCCAGGUGAUCGCGGUGAUGAUAACGACCAGCCAGGUCGGGGAGGCCUCCAGGGGCCAAAAGGAUACCCUGGUCUCACAGGAGAGAAUGGAUCACCAGGCCCAGUSGGCCAUCCGGGGGMAGACGUGAGUAACUCUUAAAUAAUGGAGCAAUUGUGGGUGAUGRGAAGGAGCCAAAGUCCAACACACUUUUCAUCACUGUGUGUGUGUAAUGGGGGAGUGCAGGAAUAAGAGUUGAGGAAGGUUGGGGCUUGGAGCUCGUAGGGAUGGGCGAGUKUGGGGUGGGCUGGUUUGAUGAGKUUGGUCAGAGGUAAAAAAGUGACCUCUCUGUUCCUCAGUCACAGUGGGUGUGUAUUAAACUUUGUCWUCGUGAUUUGUGUCAAACAGGUCAGGAGUCAACACUGCUUACCCUGAAUGACAACUGUGUAU